ACUGAACCAGUGACAAGCUGGGGGAAAUGACACUGUCCAGUAGUUGGAGGUCACACAGCCCCUUGCCUUAUUCUCAAACCCUAACCACAUGGCUGGAUAUUCCUGAAAUGCAUUCCUAAACCUCUGCUGCUGAGAAUAAUUGGACCUGCCAUCUAUUCCCAGUUUAACUGCCCUGUAUACCAAACAAAUCCAAUUCAAGCCAACAGGCAAAGUAUAGGCUCAGACAGAGCCCAUCCUAUGUGCAAGGCGGUGAGCAGGGGUGGAAAAUCUCACUGUGACUCAUCCAGCUGAUUUCUGGAGCACACUAGGUGAUGCCCCUCACUUGGCACCCGUGUUGGCGCUGGCAUCAUGGACAAUAGAAACACCCAGAUGUACACGGAGGGUAGAACCAAGGCUCCAGGGACGCAGCCAAGUCCUGGCCUGAGGAUCACCAUAAAGAGGGCUGGUGUUGAGCCCAUCAUACCAGGAGUCAGCAAGGUCAUGUUUCCGGAUGCUUCGGAAGUGGGCAGCAAGAAGCACCUCUCAUCAGCUUCACGAGGGCCAGAGAAGGGGCCCAGACUCAGAGAUGCAUUUGAGAAGGGGCCUUCAGAGCUCAGAAUCCAGGAGCAGGGGCCUCCAGCAAGACCAGGGAAGAAACAGCCCUCUUGGGUCCCCCAGGAAGGGUCCCAGGAGCUGCAAGCAGGCCAGGAUCAGAGUGAGCUGGGGUUGCUGCCUUCCUGGGUUCCUGAAGUACCUGAAGGGCUGCAGCAGCUGGGCUCCGGAAAGGAGAUCAAGGGCCAGCAGGGGAGGCAACGGAACCGGGGAAUCGGGGAGGAUCAGCCUCCUGAGAGCUGCCAGGGCUCCGGAUAUCAAUCCACCCCCAGUCACCAGGCAGACAUGGUGCAGCCAGCAGAGCCUUGCUGCCGCUUGGCCAGCCAUGGCCAGCCACUGGGAGGCAAGCACCCCAAGGAGGCAGGUGUCCCACACAUCAGGCCACAGGAGGCUCCGCCAGAGCCCAGCCCAGGGGGACAUGGGGACAGCUCUCAGGAAGCAAUGCCCCCAAUGUCCGUCGUGGCUCCAGAGGAAAAGACAGUCAACCCCUUCCUGCCAUCCACGCCUGGACCUAAAAAAGCAAAAGGAGGGAGGGCAGACAACAGGCAUGAACAAAGCCAAGUGGUGGGACCAGGAGUAACUCACUCAAGACCAUGGCUCAGCCGGGCGCGGUGGAACACGCUUGUCAUCCCAGCACUUUGGGAGGCCAAGGCGGAGGAUCACUUGAGGAGGUGAGGGACAUUGGAGAGAGGCGGGAGCCAGACCGUGCGCAGCAGCAGCCUCAGAAGCCCGCGGUGGCUGCAGGGACACAGAGCCUCGGGAACUUCCGGCAGGGCUUCAUGAAGUGCUUGCUGGAGGUGGAGAAAAUGGAGGCCUCCCAUCGGAGAGCCUCGAAGGCCCGGUCCCAGACAGCCCAGAAGUCGCCCAGGACCCUGACCCCGGUGCCCACCUCAGCUCCAAGCCUGCCUCAGACCCCUGCCUCGGUCCCUGCCAGCGGCCCAUCGUGGGCCCGGCUGCCAGCUCCUGGGCCAGAACCUGCCCCCAUGGGAGCCCCGGUCCCCACCUCCAUGCCUUGCCCUGUCCUGCUGGGCCCUGCCCUGGACCUGGGCUGGAGAAGGAUGGAACUCUUGCACCAGAGCAGCGAGAGAACCCUGAGCUACGCCAAGGCGCGGCAGGAGCCGGAAGAGCAGAGCCUCCAAAAGCUUUAUCAAAACCGGGAGAAGUCCGAGGAGCAACUGACCCUGAAGCAAGAGGAAGCCUUCCGCAGCUACUUUGAGAUCUUCAAUGGUCCUGGUGAGGUGGAUGCACAGAGCCUGAAGAAUAUCCUGCUCCUAAUGGGCUUCUCUGUGACGCUGGCCCAGGUGGAGGACGCCCUGAUGAGUGCUGAUGUCAAUGGAGAUGGUCGUGUGGACUUCAAAGACUUCUUGGCUGUGAUGACAGACACCAGGCGCUUCUUCUGCUCUGUGGAACAGAACGCCCUGUCGGACAUGGCUCCCCACAACCCCCACACUCUACUCUUUGAGAUCCUGUCCCUGCUGGUAGAGAUGCUGGCCUUACCAGAGGCAGUCUUAGAGGAAAUCACAAACUACUACCAGAAAAAGCUGAAGGAAGGCACCUGCAAGGCCCAGGAGAUGGAAGCGGCCGUAGGCCGGCUGCGGUUGCAGAAGCUUCCCUACAACCCCCAGCAAGAAGAGAGCUCAGAAGUUCCAGAACGAAAGGUCCUCAGUAUCCUGAGCCGGCUGAAGCAGCAGAACUAUGGCAGCCAGGCCAAGGGAGCUGAGAGGCCAGUUUCCCACUUCGGGCUUAACUGUGUACAUCAGAAAACAGGCUGAUAAUCACUAUUUUCCAUCCAGGCCUAUGACAAUGGCCUCCUGCGUUGGACUCCUCCCCUCCUGCCUUAGCCUGAGCACAGCUCCCAACCUGCAGAGCCCCUAUGCCCAGGUGCCCUGCAUCCUGCUCUGCCCACAGCUGGACAAGAAGAUGGUCCGUAGGCAGCCGAGCAACCACUAUGCACUAGACCAGUGCACACCCCCUGGCCUGGAUCCUGACAUCCGCAGCCCCUUCUUCCAGUCAGGAUCUCAAGGAAACAGGGAACCAACGAGGGAGUGAGCCUGUGAGACUCAGCUUGCCACCUUGGCCACCACGUGCUGCCCUCAUCACAAAAACCACACCAACCACUCCGAAACGUAUCUGCUGGUCAGGAGCAGGGAGGCUGUCUGGCUGGCUGAGGGAUAAGGCGCAGUGCAACGGAAGGGAUCAGGAAGCCUGAGAGGAGCCAGGAAAUGUACCAGGUAUAGUUACUGAGCUGGGGCCACCAAUGGAGAUGGAGCACUGCAGACCCCUAAGAGUUCAAGCCAUGCUGGAGUGGGAAGACCUAUCCACCUUCUGAACAUACGAGGCAGAAGGCUCAGAGUCCUGGAGGCAGACUCUCUCCUGGUUUUCCUUGUGCUGAUGGCAAAAUACUAAACAAGUCUUCUCUCCGUCACUUCUAAGCCCAGGGAUGCAAUCUCACUCCCUGGCACUCUGCUUUCUUCUAGAAGUAGUAAGCCUGGCUGGUAGGGAACCACCCUGAGGGGUAUGGGAAGGGGAAGUCGGUUCACUUUCCCUAUCUCCCAAAAUACUAGAGGUGGGGUUGGCACCCUCCCCAGGCUCUCCGAGCCUACAGAGCUAGCCCAGUCUCCAGGCAAGGCCCAGAUGCCCUGGGACUUAGCUCGGGGAGGGAGGUAUAGGCAUGGGGUGCUCGUCUGUCCUGGCGGCUGCAGAGCCCUGCCCCUUUUCUGGGCGGCAGUAGGAAUACAGAAGCUAAGCUCACCAAAAUCCUAUUGGUUAAUGUUUCUAGUGAAUUUCCCAGAAACAUUUUUAAGUAGACUACCAAACUACCCUUUCUUAAUUAAAAAUUCAUUAAACCACUAAAA